CCUGGUUGAUGAUGCUUGUAGUCAUAUGCUUGAAUCAAAGAUUAAGCCAUACAUGUGUAAGUAUGAACUAAUUUAGACUGUGAAACUGCAAAUGGCUCAUUAAAUCAAUAUAGUUUGUUUAAUGGUAUCCACUACUCAGAUAAUCAUAGUAAUUCUAGAGUUAAUACAUGCAACAAAUCCCAACUUCUAGAAGGGAUGCAUUUAUUAAAUAAAAGGAUGACAAAAGCUUUGCUUGUUGCUCUGAUGUUUCAUGAUAACUCGAUAGAUCACACAACUUUGUGCCGGUGAUGCAUCAUUCAAAAUUAUGCCAUAUCAACAUUUGAUGGUAGGAUAGUGGCCUACUAUGGUGGUGAUGGUGAUGGAGAAUUAGGAUUUGAAUAUGGAGAAGGAGCCUAAGAAAUGACUACCACAUCCAAGGAAGUCAAAUAGGGGUGCAAAUUACGCAAUCCUGACAUGGGGAGGUAGUGUAGUAAAUAACAUUAUCAGGCUCUAUAAGUUUAGUAAUUAGAAUGGGUACAAUCUAAAUCACUUAACGAGGAUCUAUUGGAAGGUAAGUUUGGUGCAAGCAGCUAUGGUAAUUAUAGCUCCAAUAACUUAUACUUAAGUUGUUGCAGUUAAAAAACUCAUAAUUGGAACUAGGGUUAGGUCGUCUGGUUUGCCUCAUGGUGAGCCCCAAUCUAUUCAUCCCUACUGCCGAUGAUGCAUUCUUGGCCUUAACUGGCUGGGUGAUUCUUCUGUCACUGUUACUUUGAAGAAAUUAGAGUGCUUAAAGCAGGCAUCCUUUUGUAUACAUUAGUAUAGGAUAACAUCAUAGGCUUUCAAUCCUAUUGUGUUGGCCUUCAUGAUUUAAGUAAUAAUUAAUAGGGACAAUUAGGGGCAUUCGUAUUUCAUAGUCAGAGGUGAAAUUAUUGGAUAUAUGAAAGAUGAACAACUAUGAAAGCAUUUGCUAAAGAUGUUUUCAUUAAUCAAGAAUAAAAAUUAAGGGCUCAAAGAUGAUUAGAUACCGUCCCAGUCUCAACCAUAAACGAUGUCGACCAGGGAUUGAUGGAUGUUGCUUUUCGGACUUUGUUGGCACUUUAUGAGAAAUCAAAGCCUUUGGGUUUUGAAGGGAGUAUGGUCGCAAGGUUGAAACUUAAAGGAAUUGAUGGAAGGGCACCACUAGGAAUGGAGCCUGUGGCUUAAUUUGACUCAAUGGGGAAACUUACCACAUCCAUACAUAGUAAAGAUUGACAAACUGAUAGCUCUUUCUUGAUUCUAUGGGUGGCAGUGCAUGGCAAUUCUCAGAUGGUAGAGCGAUUUGUCUAGUUAAUUCCAUUAACAAAUGAGACCUCAGCCUGCUAAGUAGCUAUGUAAAGGUGAUCCUUUAUGGCUAGCUUCUUAGAGAACUAUGGCUGCGUAGGCCAAGAAAGUUAGAGGUAAUAACAGGUUUAUGAUACCUUUAGAUGUUUUGGGCCACAUGCAUGCUGCAUUGAUGUAUUCAAUGAGUUUAUAGCCUUGGUUGAUGGCCUAGGUAAUAUUUGAAAUUUCAUUGUAAUAGAGAUAGAUCAUUACAAUUAUUGGUCUUCAAUAAGGAAUUCCUAGUAAGUGUGAGUCAUCAAAUUGCAUUGAAUACAUCCCUACCUUUUGUAUGCACCACCCAUAUCUGCUACUUAUUGAAUGAUCUGAUUAAGUGUUUGGAUCAUGGCAAUGAGGAUGGUUCACUGCCCAUGAUGUUGUGAGAAGUCCACUAAACCUUAUCAUUUAGAGGAAGGAGAAGUCAUAAAAAGGUUCUUAUAGGUGAACUUGUGGAAG
rnacentral:rRNA from 1 species